rnacentral:rRNA from 1 species
UACGAAGGGGGCUAGCGUUGCUCGGAAUGACUGGGCGUAAAGGGCUCGUAGGCGGUUUGUCACGUCGGGAGUGAAAACUCGGGGCUCAACCCCGAGCCUGCUUCCGAUACGGGCAGACUAGAGGUAUGCAGGGGAGAAUGGAAUUCCUGGUGUAGCGGUGAAAUGCGCAGAUAUCAGGAGGAACACCAAUGGCGAAGGCAGCUCGCUGGGACGGUACUGACACUGAGACGCGAAAGCGUGGGGAGCAAACAGG